CCUACGGGAGGCAGCAGUGAGGAAUAUUGGUCAAUGGGCGGAAGCCUGAACCAGCCAAGUCGCGUGAGGGAAGACGGCCCUAUGGAUUGUAAACCUCUUUUGUCGGGGAGCAACGCCGGACACGUGUACCCGGAGGGAGAGUACCUGCAGAAUAAGCAUCGUCUAACUCGGUGCAAGCAGCGGCGGUAAUAGGGAGGAUGCGAUCGUUAUCCGGAUUUAUUGGGUUUAAGGGGUGCGUAGGCGGAUUGUAAAGUCAUCGGGAAAAUCUCCGGUCUCAACCCGGAACGGCCGUUGAAACUGGGGUUCUUGAGUGGGCGAGAGGUAUGCGGAAUGCGUGGUGUAGCGGUGAAAUGCAUAGAUAUCACGAAGAACUCCGAUUGCGAAGGCAGCAUACCGG
rnacentral:rRNA from 1 species